AUUGAACGCUGGCGGCAGGCCUAACACAUGCAAGUCGAGCGAGCGGCGGACGGGUGAGUAAUGUCUGGGAAACUGCCUGAUGGAGGGGGAUAACUACUGGAAACGGUAGCUAAUAACGCAUACCAUCAGAUGUGGCCAGAUGGGAUUAGCUAGUAGGUGUGUUAACGGCUCACCUAGGCGACGAGCCCUCGCUGGUCUGAGAGGAUGACCAGCCACACUGGAACUGAGAAACGGUCCAGAUGCCUACGGAAGGCAGCAGUGGGGAAUAUUGGAAAAUGGGCGCAAGCCUGCUGCAGCCAUGCCGCGUGUGUGAAGAAGGCAUUCGGGUUGUAAAGCACGUUCAGCGGGGAGGCGUUACCCGCAGAAGAAGCACCGGCUAACUCCGUGCCAGCAGCCGCGGUAAUUC
rnacentral:rRNA from 1 species